GGAGAAUAAGGGAAUACAGUUCAAGUUUUGGCAAUCAGGCGCCCACCUGGAGAACAAGGGAAUACAGUUCAAGUUUUGGCAAUCAGGCGCCCACCUGGAGAACAAGGGAAUACAGUUAAGGUUUUGGCAAUCAGGUGCCCACCUGAGAACAGGGGAAUACAGUUAAAGUUUUGGCAAUCAAGCGUCUACCUAAAGAACAAGGGAAUACAAUUAAAGUUUUGGCAAUCAGGCCCCCACCUGGAGAACAAGGGAAUACAAUUAAAGUUUUGGCAAUCAGGCGCCCACCUAAAGAUCAAGGGAAUACAAUUAAAGUUUUAACAAUCGGGCGCCCACAUGGAGAACAAGGAAAUAUAGUUCAAGUUUUGGCAAUCAGGCGCCUACCUGGAGAACAAGGGAAUACAGUUCAUGUUUUGACAUUCAGGCGCCCACCUGGAGAACAAGGUAAUACAAUUAAGGGUUUGGCAAUCAGGCGCCCACCUAAGAACAGGGGAAUACAGUUAAAGUUUUGGCAAUCAUGUGCCUACCUAAAGAACAAGGGAAUACAAUUCAAGUUUUGGCAAUCAGGCGCCCACCUGGAGAACAAGGGAAUAUAGUUCAAGUUUUAGCAAUCUAGCACCCACAUAGAGAACAAGGGAAUACAGUUAAAGUUUUGGCAAUCAGGCGCCCACUUAGAGAACAAGGGAAUACUGUUAAAGUUUUGUCAAUCAGGCGCCUCUCUAAAGAACAAGGGAAUACAAUUAAAGUUUUGGAAAUCAGGCACCCACCUGGAUAACAAGGGAAUAUAGUUCAAGUUAUGGCUAUCAGGCGCCCACAUGGAGAACAAGGGAAUACAGUUGAAGUUUUGGCAAUCAGGCACCCACCUGGAGAACAAGGGAAUACAGUUAAAGUGUUGGCAAUCAUGCGUCCACCUGGAGAACAAGGGAAUACAGUUAAAGUUUUGGCAAUCAGGCGCCGACCUGGAGAACAAGGGAAUAUAGUCAAAGUUUUGGCAAUCAGGCGCCGACCUGGAGAACAAGGGAAUACAAUUCAAGUUUUGGCAAUCAGGCG
rnacentral:lncRNA from 1 species